rnacentral:rRNA from 1 species
GAUGAACGCUGGCGGCGUGCCUAAUACAUGCAAGUCGAGCGAAGCGGGGACGGGUGAGUAACACGUAGAUAACCUCCUCUAAGAAUGGGAUAACUUAUGGAAACCGGAGCUAAACCGGAUACUUGGAAAUGGGUACGCGGUGCAUGAGCUAGGGGGUAAGGUAACGGCUUACCAGGGCAACGAUGCAUAGCCGACCUGCGAGGGUGCGCGGCCACACUGGAACUGCGACACGGUCCAGACUCCUACGGGAGGCAGCAGUAGGGAAUCUUCCGCAAUGGGCGAAAGCCUGACGGAGCAACGCCGCGUGAGUGAUGAAGGUCUUCGGAUCGUAAAACUCUGUUAUUAGGGAAGCGGUACCUAAUCAGAAAGCCACGGCUAACUACGUGCCAGCAGCCGCGGUAAUAC